GUCCUGAAUGGAAAAGAGGACAGACCCUCUCCUGGCAAGGGAGAGAGCCGGAGCCUUAAGGUCACGCUUCGGCAAAACAGAGUAACCACCAGGGAGCCGUGACCUCUCCCUGACUCC
rfam:Prevotella sp. CAG:1320 genomic scaffold, scf57